GCCCCAGUAAACGGCGGUGGUAACUAUAACCAUCCUAAGGUAGCGAAAUUCCUUGUCGGGUAAGUUCCGACCUGCACGAAUGGCGUAACGACUUCUCCACUGUCUCAACCACGAACUCGGCGAAAUUGCACUACGAGUAAAGAUGCUCGUUACGCGCAGCAGGACGGAAAGACCCCGGGACCUUUACUACAGCUUGGUAUUGGUGUUCGGUACGGCUUGUGUAGGAUAGGUGGGAGACUGUGAAGCAUGCACGCCAGUGUGUGUGGAGUCAACGUUGAAAUACCACUCUGGUCGUUCUGGAUAUCUAACCUCGGUCCGUGAUCCGGAUCAGGGACAGUGCCUGGUGGGUAGUUUAACUGGGGCGGUUGCCUCCUAAAAGGUAACGGAGGCGCCCAAAGGUUCCCUCAGCCUGGUUGGCAAUCAGGUUUUGAGUGUAAGUGCACAAGGGAGCUUGACUGUGAGACAGGCAUGUCGAGCAGGGACGAAAGUCGGGACUAGUGAUCCGGCGGUGGCUUGUGGAAGCGCCGUCGCUCAACGGAUAAAAGGUACCCCGGGGAUAACAGGCUGAUCUUGCCCAAGAGUCCAUAUCGACGGCAUGGUUUGGCACCUCGAUGUCGGCUCGUCGCAUCCUGGGGCUGGAGUAGGUCCCAAGGGUUGGGCUGUUCGCCCAUUAAAGCGGUACGCGAGCUGGGUUUA
rnacentral:rRNA from 1 species